UACGUAGGGUACAAGCGUUAAUCGGAAUUACUGGGCGUAAAGCGCACGUAGGCGGACUAUUAAGUCAGGGGUGAAAUCCCGGGGCUCAACCCCGGAACUGCCUUUGAUACUGGUAGUCUCGAGUCCGAUAGAGGUGGGUGGAAUUCCUAGUGUAGAGGUGAAAUUCGUAGAUAUUAGGAAGAACACCGGUGGCGAAGGCGGCCCACUGGAUCGGUACUGACGCUGAGGUGCGAAAGCGUGGGGAGCAAACAGG
rnacentral:rRNA from 1 species